CGGCCCGGCGGCGCAGCAAGAGCACGGCCCAGCGCGCAGCAGGAGCCCGCGGCGAGGAUGGCCAGGCGGCGCAGCGAGAGCCCGAGACGAGGAUGGCCCGGCGGCAGUGUGUCAUGCGUGGUCGGGUGGUAGCUCGCCGAGGAGGUGGCUGCCGGCUCCGAAAGAGGACGGCCCGGCGGCGCAGCAGAGGUCCUCGGCCGCAUUGCCGAGUACAGGCGACCGCUCGUCAUGGAUAUCACCCUAGAAGCAGCUGGUCAAGAGAAUAGUCAGGAUGUUGAUGGCGAGGCAACGAAUCAGGAGCAGUAAGCGGCAGGAGGGGAAGAUGUUGAGGUCAUGACCUCCUGCUGGUGGCGGAUUGGUGUACGGAGGUGCGCAUUGGAGCGCUCCAUCUCCAUGGCGUGGAUGUCAACAACAAUCCCCAUAUCAGGGUGGACGGGCUCCGCCACCGUUAGAUUCAUCUGCCUGGUGGCGGCGUAAUGUGAGUCUGCAGAUUCAUCUUUUGAGUAAAGUUUUCAUGGCAUAGGUGUAGCGUCGUUCCUUCUCGCAGUCUCUUAAUGUCUCUCCCCUCUGCUGUUCCUCCAACCAUAUGAUGGCUGUGUUGCUCGAUGUGUUGGCUAAAUCCACAUUUAGUUUUCACUAUGCAUAUCACCUGUUUGAUACAAAUCCUGCUUGUGCUUGGCAAGAUGUUCAGUAGUGAUGCAGGUCUUGGUUAUUUCUGAAACUAACAUCAUCUUGGAUAUUUUUUUUACAUCCAAUUGAUUGUUGUGAGCAUUA